UUAAAGUUUUGGCCUGAUGGUGGUGCUAGAGAACAGGUCAACCCAACGAUCUGUUUCAUUAUCAAGGGGUUAUUUAUGUAUUCAACAAAUAAACAAUGUGCCUGACAGAAAAACUUGGUAAACAAUUUUAUGUAAAUCAUUUUCUGAAGGAAAAUAUCCCUGGGGUCAAAUUCAAGUCAAGUUAAAGUAACUUUAUUGUAAAUCUCUACAAUGUUACCACUUACAUAGAAAUUGAAAUUCUGUUUCUCUUCAGCUUCAGUCUAAAUGGGGAAACAACUUUAAAUUCCACAAUAAAACAACUGUAGGAACUAUAAAUAGUGGAGGCUAUAAAUAGUAGAAUAAUUAACAUGAAUGUAAAAAAUGAGAGAAAAAAUAAAGUGACUGUAGUUUAGUUCCUUGUUUAACUUAAAAACAUGUUUUUACUGCACUGGAGGACUGGUGGAUUGACCCCAAAGGUGAAGUGUGUGAGUAAUAUUUGAGGAUAAUACGAGGGUUAAAUCCAGAUUGCAGCUUAGACAAGGAAAACAAAGACGUACAUGGAUCCAUUUUUCUGCAGGUGGAUGCAUCGGAAUGGGGCGGAGCAGGACGACUUUGGCUUCCUGUUGUAGCUACAUAACACCUACAAGCUGUUUCCAACGGCCUUUUACCAUCUGUUCCUGAUUCGCAAUAGUUUGAAUAAAGAAAUACUCAGAAAUUCAGUUUUAAUAUUAAUUUUGUCGUGUCCUCCAUCAUGAGAAAAAUGCUACAACAUUUUUAGUGCAGUAAGUUUCGAAUGAGGUUUGUAGUACUUCCUUGUGGUGUUAGUUAGACAAACUAAUGCAACAGGCAGACAAAUUCUCCUUGAGAUGGUUCAUGAUGACAAACAGACACCCAAAGAAGGAACAAAUGAUCACAGUACAGAUUUGUGUAUGUUUGUGUGCAUGCAUUAGUUGUGCAUGUUUGUUUCUGUGUGUGUGUGUGUGAGUGUGUGUGCAUGCAUUACCUAUGGGUGUUGGGGUGAAUUAACUGUGCAUGUUUGUGUGUGCGUCCAUUUACUGUGCGUGUUUGUGUGUGAAUGCAUUAACUGUGAGUGUUUGUGUUUAGAUGCAUUAGCUCUGCGUCUUUGUGUAUGUGUUUGCGUGCAUUAGCUGUGCGUCUUUGUGUAUGUGUUUGCGUGCAUUAGCUGUGCGUGUUUGUGUGUGUGUGUGUGUGCGUGCAUUAGCUGUGGGGGUGUGUGUGGAGUGUCUGUUGUCACAGCACAAAGACCUCCCCACACCAGCAUUUGUGGGAACGAGCACUGAGGUCUUAUGUAACUGCAUGGGUUGUCAUGGCAACCAAACUACAAACUGAUCAACUACAAGCAUUUCUUUUCCUUUUAAUUACAUUGAAAUGUGGGCGUCAGUUAAAUGCAAGGAGGCUAAAGUCACAUCCAGGAUGGAACCACUUUUGUUGUUUGACGCCUCUUCUGUCUGCUGUCUUCUGGAUUGCUCUCCUAAAGACUAACAUUCUGAGAACAUGCAACUGGAUUCACUCCAUGAAUCCCCUCAUUACAUGUACAAGAGGGCAAUGUAAGGUCUCACAUGGAGCUGCUGUUGCCAUGGAGAUGGUACAGCAUUCUCAGGUGGACAUAGUUCUGAUGCAGGAGGUUAAAGGGCCAGUGCAGCAGCAGUGCACAGCAUGCUCUCUUCCAGUUCCAUGUCAGAGUUUGGGCCUCGCUUUGGAUGAACUGGAGAACUUUUUUCAGCAGAACAACAGGAAGUGACACCACGGACAGCGACAGCUCGCCAUGAUACCACCCCCCCUGCCCUCCAUCUGUCCACCAAUCUGUCCAUCCACACCUCUGACUCCGUCUGCAUGGAGAGAAGGUGACACGAUGUUACGUGAUGAUGAAGUUUAUCUAGAAUUUUUUUCUUUGUCCCCAUUUACAGAUUCGAUGAGUCACACUGAACGUCUACACUGAACUCGUAACAGGUUUUCCUUUUUUUAUUUUUGUUUUGUUUGAAUCGUGAUCACAUGCAUAAUAGUUAGCAUGAAAGGUUGACGAUGAAAGGAUGGAGAGGUGAAAAGAGGGAUAGUUGGAAGGUGAAUGUAGGAGUCAAAUUAAAUAAAACAGAUGCACAAGAUGUUCACACCACUUAGCAACGGGCUAUUAGUCAUGCCGUGACACCACAGCCUGUACCACCUGCUGCAGGCUGCACCAUCACACCUUCAGCUGAGAAAAACCAAACCAGUUAACACUAUGCGUGUUGGAGAGGUGGGGAGAAGAUAAAAAAGGUCCUUUUCCUACCCUCUGAACCGAAAACUAGUUGAAGAUCUCCAAGGGGUUAUGACAAACAUCCCGUUAGGCCAGAACAUUUUUCAAAAAUAAAGUUCAAAACACAAAAUACAUUUUUGAAGGUCAAGCCGCUGAUUUCAAUGAUGAUUGCAACCUCUCUGUUGCUUUCAGUUCAAUUCCAUUCAGAAUGCAGGAAAAUCAAUCAAGUAAAAACAUGACAUUAGUGGCUGUUUUUGAUCAUUUAAGAUUAUUUUCAAUAAAGUCAAACAGUCAAAGCAGUAUUUAAAUAAGUGACAGAUCAGAGCAAAGGAUUUAAGCACUGGUCAGUGGUGUAGUGGUUAGCACUCCCACCUCACAGCAGUAAAACUGGGUUUAAAUCCCAGCUUGGACCUUAUUGUGUGGAGUUUGUAUGUUCACCAUAAUGAUCUGUGGUUCUUCCUCUCAUGGUCUAAAAAUAUGCAUUUCCAGUCAGUUGUUAACUCUACAUUCUCCCUAUAGGUGUAAUGUGUGUGUGUGGUUGUGUGUCUCUAAGUCGCACUGUAAAGUUCAGGGAAAAUAUCCCGGCUGGAUAGGCUCCAUCAACCCCGUGACCCCAAAAGGAAUUGGAAAAUGGAUGAAUGAAUGCUACUUUGCCAGGCUGAAGGGAGACCAGUGCAGCUCGUCUCAUCACUGACAUGAGCUGCGCAUCAUGACUUCCCUUAGGUCAGGCAAGGAACAUGCAGAGAGGACACCCCGCGGGAAGUGGGCAUCAUUUCAGGACAAGAUGAAGCGGAGAGCAAAGGGGACAUGAGACACACAGGAAAUGUCUACUUGUAAAACAGGAUGGAGACUCAGACGAAUGUCAGAGAUGGACAAAGACAACAUUUCUGAAUCAUUUUGAUGGAUGGAUUCCUCUUUAAGUAACUAGUAACUCAGUGUCUUUUGUAGUUAUUGAAGAAUCCUUUAAUACUUGUAAGGAAACUUUUCCCACUAGUACUUGAAUUUAAGCUAAGUUUAGACAAUGUAGUAGCUUUUUGACAUGGGCGCACAUUUUUGUUUCUCGUUCUGCUUCUGGUGAAAUAGGUUUUAAAGUCUUCAAGUCUUACAUGUAACUGGUAGAAACCCGAAGGACACACAAUGUUUGCUGUGGGCACCGUUCCCCCAGGGGACGGAGCGUAUAUGGAGAACAAACCCCUCCCAUCCAGGUGUGUGAAAGUUUUCGCGAUUUUCAUGUUUAAACAUAAUAUGGGAAUAAGAACUUUUUUUCUAGCGAUUUUCACGAAAUUUCACGCACAUGUCGCUAGCGUAAGACUACAACCACCUCUGGAGUUUUGUCAGCAUUUGACUUCGGGAAAAGGCAGCCAGCUUGAAUUAUUAAAAAAAGCACAUCUACUAUCAGAAACAAACGUAAACUUGUCGCUGGGUUUUUUAUUGAUCAUCUCCUAACCUUUUAGGCAUCAAUGGCAAGCUACUAUGGAAAAAAUGUUACAAUUACAAGUUGUAGGUUUUAACCGUUGUGCGUGUGGCGAGCUAGCAAAUGUGGUAUACUGUUAUAACUCUUGUGUUUUUCAAUGGAAUACUGUGAAAAUGUAAUGUGUUCAUCCAUAUCUGGAACUGCACAUAUAGAGACACACUGGAUAUGGCCAUAUAAGGAAUGAGGGCAUGUUAAGCAAAAAACCUCUGUUGCUAAGGACAUCAAAAAGUUAACUUUUUCAGAUUUGUCUGAAACUAACAUCAGUCUGUUCAUCAUCCGCAGGCGACUAAAACAUAAAAUGGUUGCUAUGGAGAUAAAAUCAACAAAAAAGACGCCAUUAUGAAAAAAGUGGAUUUUUUAUCAACCCAUGACAUGUAGCUUUUACCAAUGGAGCCACGUGUUUUCUGAGUGAGUUGAUGACGCUGAUCGCUAAGCUAGCACUUUUAGCCACAUUAGCAUAACUAGCAUAGUUAGCAUAAUUAGCAUCUUAAGCAAUGUGUUUUCUGAGUUAUCCACCGGCCCUUUCUUGUGAUCCUUUUUAGGACACAAGUCAUUCGUUUAGCUCUCGAAACAAUUUUGGAACUAAAGAGUUAAGUGUGCUUAAGUAGAAAUUCAAGUGUCCCAGCUCACUGUCUUUCACGGCUUCAGUGUGGUAAACGGAAUAAAUUCACCUGCAGAACUUAUACGACUGUCACAAAUUACACCUGAUGAGAUCUUUUGGUGAUUUAUCAUAAAAUCAAAAUGACAGUCAGAAAAGGCUGAUCCUUUUUUUUAAACUCUAUUUCCACCCUAGAAAGGAGCCAGAACAACACAUCUCUUUCAAAAGAGUUCUAAACAUCUGGACUGGUUUGGGCUCACAGUGCCUGUGGCAGUCCUAGAGCCAGCUGGCCUGCUGGGGUCCUCCUCACUGGGAAAUAGAAAUUAUUUUUCAGGACUGCUCUUGGGAUGUACUGACAGGGUGCAGGGGAGAGGGGGCGGCCAUAACCAUGACACGUCACAGUUACUGUAAACCAGUUCAGUCAUUUUUCUUCCAAUAAAAGCUCCCAUUCAUCCCCAAAACCACUAAUCCAAUCUCACAAAAUAAACAGGCAUGUAGACACACAUUCAACACACACACACAAAUUCCACACAGUUGUUUUCAGUCUAACACACUUCUCUUUAGACCAGUAGAGCUCUGACUCAAAAACAGAGAAGCUGAAUUACACAUUCCUGGCAACGCUCUGCUAAAAUAAACUAAUAAUGCGACACUACAGCCUUCCUGCCCAGCAGACACUUCAGCUGCACGCACACACAAAAUUAGUCAGCAAAAGCACUAACCGCAAAGCGUCUUGUAAAUUUUCAGCCAAGCCUUUGCUUCCCUCUUGGCUUGGCGCCAUGACAGCUUCCUAGAAUGGGCUGAAGUGGAUGUGGUUACACUUCUGCUAAUCCUGUCUGAGGACUCAUAACCCCUAUGACUUCUCAAAAAGCUCCUUGUUUGAAACCACGUUCACAUCCUCAUAUGUUAUUAAGGAUGCUGUAGAUGUGGAGUGUAAAAAGUUCAUGUCCCAGUCUGCCUCACAAGAGUAUACAGACACUUUCAGGGCCAACUGUGUCUUCAUAAUCCAAUUUUGUGAAUGGACAAUAACUGACCUUCAGAAAGGCAACUGUUUGUAUGGAAAUUUAGAAAGGUUCUUAGAAACCUGUCACUGCACCAUGAUAACGACUGAGAGGUUGUUCCAUGCCUAAUGUACUUCCCCCAUUAUGCUGUCUAUUGGAGGAAGGGUGGGGAGGAGGGACCAUUGAAUAAACAUUCAUCCAAAAAGCUCGGCUGAGACCUGCUUUGCUGUUUUAAAACUUUCUCAAAAAUAUUAAUCCUUGGUCAAUUAUUGGCUUAUUGGAUGUCAUCAUCCAUCUUCCUUUACACUGAAGACAUUUCCUGUUGGUUCUUCAGGUUAUUUUCUGAAAUUAAUAUUGCUGCUGCUGCAUGGAUUUCAAAACCUGGUCCCAGCUUGCCUCACUCAGAAGCUCUGGGAGUGUUCAAUUUUAGGCCAAUGUUUCAGCUGUUUGUGAUGUAAACAACUAAAGUACCCAAAGUAAUCAUACAGUGCAUUCCAACUUAUUAGGAAAAGCAUGAAAUAGUCAAAUACCUUAGACAAGGUACGACAAUCUUGGCUAUUUCAGGAAAAUUUAAGCGUGAUAAUCCCAGAAUGAGAAAGGUGUCUGCCAGACAAAUCCAUUGGAUCAAGAGAGCAGCUGCUAAAAUACACAUGCAAAGCAGCAAGAACAAAUUUAAACUGCUGGUGUCUCAGGAGUCGCACCAACAUCAAGGUGUAGAAUCCUCCAGAGGCUUCCAGUUCUAUGUAAACGUUCUUUAGGGUUCCUAAAGGUGUGAAAAUGAACAAGUAAACAAAUUGUCUUCAUGCAUGACAAUGCACCAUCUCAUGCUGCAAGAAAUACAUCUGCAUCAUUGGCUGCUAAAGGCAGAGAAGGAUACAAGCUGAUGGUCUGGCCCCCAUCCUCCCCUGACCUCAACCCUAUUGAGAACCUUUAGAGCAUCCUCAACCCAAAUAUCUCUGAGGUUGGGGGGCGGUUCACAUCCAAACAGCAGCUCUAGGAGGCUAUUCUGACAUAUUGCAAAUAAAUUCAAGCAGAAACUCUCCAAAAACCUACAAGUUCAAUGGAAGCAAGAAUUGUGAAGCUGCUCCAUAAUCAGAGAUCCCAUGUGCAAAGGGAACUUGACCUCUGAAAAUCUUUUUAUUGGAAUAGCUUUGGAUUUCAGUAAAUCUCACCUCCUAAUGCAGCCAUUGAAGAUUUAGUAAAAUCAUAGAGAAAUAGCAUUUGCAGAAUCAUUUGGAACAUGCUAUAGUUCACCAUGAGUAGCACACACCUUUUUGCAUGGCAAAAAUAAUUUUCACAAAUGACCAAUAAUCCCAUCCAGGGUAAAAAAAAAUUACGUUAAUAUUUAGUUCAACUAACAGGCCACCAAAUACUGUAUUACUUUCUAACUAGCCCCACCCAUCUAGAGUAAAAAUGUGACACUCCAAACUGCAAGGGCCCUGACUAAACUUUGGACACAACAUUAAUAUGGGAACCAAUAGAACAUCAGAACAAUGAUGCUGCUAAAUAUUGGUUUAUAGAGCUUGACAAGCCCCUAGCUCAGUGUGUGUAUUUUCCAAAAUGUAGCCUCGAAACACGCAGUUAAUUCACAAUAUAGUUUCCUGUGACUGUCACACAUGCAUGCAACACCUUAAUUGGGCAACAGCCAAUCAUAGCCACAUCCCAAAGGCGAGGCCCUUCAUGAAACCAGUACAUCAUGGAUGAGGGCAUAUUGGAAUGUGCUGAAGUCCAUGACACCAAACCAAAAGCAGAAAACUGCUGUUGGCUUUGGCUCCAGAAAUUCUUCACACAAUGUUUAAAAAAUAAAAUAUUUUUUGCAAAUGUUGUCAAACACAAAAAAGCGCAUAGGUAAAGAGAAUAAAAGUGAAAGGUCAAAACUAAAUUAUUUCUUUCUCCUAAAUUCUGCUAAGUGUGUGUUUUUUCAAACCCAUGUGACUCCCACAUGGGUACUGAUGUCAUCAUCAGGUAUGACCUGAUGAUGACAUUUAAACUCUAAUGAAGAUACUAGUUUCUUUCCUGUGCUAUCAUUUGGCUCCUGUUUUUUCUUUAUUCAAUAUUUCAUUUUGUCAUCUUUUUUAUAUUUUUUUCCUUUCUCAUUUUUUUCCUGUAAGUACCAACAUUAUAUGUUGAUGACAGGUGAGAGUAUUGUAUAUGCCCCCUAAUGUGUGUGUGUGUAUUUCGUAGUGUGUUCAUCCUCUGCUGGUGUUUGUAUUUUGUCAACGAUAAGUUCAAUAAAAAGAAAAAGAAAAAAAAAAAGAGGCCUCCAUCUUGAAAAUAGCUCCUCUUUUAUAGGUGAUUGGCUCCACCCCUUACCAAACCAAUUGUUAAUCAAAAUCAAACAUGUCCUAAGAAACUAAUUUACAUGCAUUUUACUUGUAACAAAUGCAACAUUAAGAAACAAAAAUGCAAAAUAAAAAUAAAUCAUUUUGAAUUUAAAACAGGCCUGUCAAAAGAAAACCAAAACAAUGGGUGGGUCCACUGGACUUCCUGGAUACUUCCUAAGAAAUAAGGAAGUAAAUAAAUGAAACACUGAGAAAAACAAAAUCAGGCGACUACAAACAAGCUAAACAAAGUAAAUGGCAAUAGCUGUUGGAACCUGCCAGCUGAACAGUGUGUGCACUCACUGACGCUGUCAAGCACAAUUCUAAAUUAUUAAGCUCUCACAGAGACAGACGUGUUCUCUGUGACACUAUCAGUGGAAUUCCCAGCCAAUACAUAAAGUAUAAGGUGAGUCAAAAGGGUUUUAGAAGUGAAACUAAGAACUUUGGUCAGGAUACUUGAAUUUUACUCCUCUUUAUGCUUACGUCCCUUCAUCCUGCCCUUCUUAUAACAUAAUAAUCGAAGGACAACGACAUUCCUCUGCCUCUCCAAACUGUCACUAGGCUCAGUUGAGCUAUCUGCAGUAGCUGGGUUGUAACCUAGAACGAUAAAGGAGUGAGAUGGAGGAGUGUGGAAAAAAAAGAGAAGGUAUCAGAAAAUGCAUUGUCAAUAUCCUGAAAAAUAAAAACAGCAAAUCGACUUUCCUACAGAGGAGCAGAAGGGGACGCAGUCACAGGUUCUGUUCGGUUUUUGAUGGUGAAUUUAGUGUCAGAAAUAAAAAAGGAACCCUGUUAGUACUCAUGAAAAACCCACCAAGCACAACCGCACAGAAACGUGUCCAGGCAACGUUUAUGAGCGGAAAUACCAUAAAGGCUGGGCAGGUCAGUGAUGCACAGGUCAAAAUGUUGUGUGAAAAA